GCUGGGCGUGGUGGUGCACGCCUGUAAUCCCAGCUAGUUGGAGGCUGAGGCAGGAGAAUUGCUUGAACCCAGGAGGUGGAGGUUGCAGUGAGCUGAGAUCGUGCCACUGCACUCCAGCCUGGACAUCAGAGCGAGACUCUGUCUCAA
rnacentral:SRP_RNA from 1 species